UUAUUUUUUGAGGCACUAUAAAACUAGCUUCAGUAGAUUUAUGAAAUGCUCUUGGGUGCUAACUUGUGUCAUUAAAAAACAAAUCAGUAAAAUCUUCUCAACUCUCUUUUAAUUCAUUUUCUUUUAGUCUCAGAUCAGUGUCCUGGAGGGAGUCUCUUGUCAUGAUUUGCAGAAAUCUGGCAGCCUUGUGUCUGCUGUGAUCACCAAGUCCUGGCCCAGGAACAACAGAGAGGCUGUGGAAGGCCUGGAUGAGAUUCUUGAACACCUGCUCACAGGGCCAGAUGUGAAGCAGCUCUUCAAGUUGUACGGGACAGAUGAGAAGCUCUUCGCCAACAUCACAGAGGACGCCAAGAGGUUGAUGGCUGCCGCCAGCUCUGUCUUCGCAGAGGUUGCUGGUGAUGUCCUGGAUGGGUCCAUAUUGGUCAGACGGUUGGAGCUGAUCCUGAAGCACAAAAGUCAGUUUCUGGACCUGUGGCAGCUAGGUGAGCUGGGCCAGGCUGGUAAGAAGCCUACGUUCACAUGUGUGCUGGCUGUCCUCCUCUAUGCCACCAAGUGGGGGCCUCCUUGUCCUUCUGAUGGUGACUGUGGGGCACUCCCAGGGAGAGAAAGGGGUGCCGUGAAGUGUGUUUCCUUUGGCUGACUUUGUCAUUGAUUUCCAGAGACAGAAAGUUCUUCAUUCCAACAGAAAAAUUGUGACAUGGAGAAGACACUGGACUGGAGGAUGGGCGAAGUCCUGUUUCUGAAGAGAGAGAAGAGACAGGUGGACAGCCUCCUGAGGCUGUGUGGGAAGGUGAAGCACCUCGUCCAAGUGGAUUUUGGAGAGAUUGAAGCAAGACACUCAGAAGACUUGAACUGCAAAAGACUGAAUGAAGCCAUGAGGGUGAGACAGCCGCUGUCCUCAGCCUGCAAGCUGAUGACGCACUACAACCUGGACCGUGAGGUCCAAAGAAUGGCUGCAAGGGUAGACUCGCUGAUGGACAGCCAUAUCUUCCAGAUCUUCUGGGAAGAAGCUGCAGAGUCAUUAAGCCAUCCCCAAGGAGAAUCUGAAAGACAAACCCUUGCGCUUUUAGAGGCUUAUGAGUACUUGUACUCGCCUUGUUACCAGAGGUUCAUGAAACUCUAUCAGGAUCUGAAGUCAGGAGAGGUCACCUUUGGAGAAAUCAAUGUCAUCUUCAAGGACUUUGUGGAUAAAUACAAUGACCUGACUUUAGACCUCCAGAUCAUGUGUGAAGUAGACCCCCAGGCCCAGAGGGACUGGAUCUCAGAGCGUGUUGAACAGAUCAAGGAGUACCAUAGCCUGCACCAGGCCAUCAGCUCGGCCAAGGUCAUCUUGCAGUUCAAAAAGGAUUUUGGAUUGACCGGUGACUUCAGUGUUCUUUACACUUUAAUAAACUUUGUGAGUUAUUUGCUAGGGACUCCUGGGAGGUGGAGGCCUACCUCAGACUCCUUAGAAGCCCCAGGUUUUCUUGGAAAAUCAGUGAGGCAGCCCCCUCCAAGGACUCUCAUCUGGGCUGCACUCAGUCUGGAACAUUCCAAGCCCUGGGUUUUUACCUUUGCUUGAGACAGUGUGACUGUUCCUUAGCUAGUGAGUUUUCUCGGGUCUAUAUGAGAACCAAAAAUUCAGGGUAGAAAAACCAACCC
ensembl:lincRNA